AGUGGGAUAGCUGGGUCAAAUGGUGGUUCCAUUCCAAAUUUUCUAAGGAAUAUCUAUACUGCUCUCCAGAGUGAUUGCACUAAUUUGCAGUCCCACCAGCAAU
rnacentral:pre_miRNA from 1 species